UUUUUUUAUUUUAUUUUUUACCCGCAGACGACGCUGCGGCGUGCCUAAUACAUGCAAGUCGAACGCUUCUUUUUCCACCGGAGCUUGCUCCACCGGAAAAAAGAGGAGUGGCGAACGGGUGAGUAACACGUGGGUAACCUGCCCAUCAGAAGGGGAUAACACUUGGAAACAGGUGCUAAUACCGUAUAACAAUCAAAACCGCAUGGUUUUGAUUUGAAAGGCGCUUUCGGGUGUCGCUGAUGGAUGGACCCGCGGUGCAUUAGCUAGUUGGUGAGGUAACGGCUCACCAAGGCCACGAUGCAUAGCCGACCUGAGAGGGUGAUCGGCCACAUUGGGACUGAGACACGGCCCAAACUCCUACGGGAGGCAGCAGUAGGGAAUCUUCGGCAAUGGACGAAAGUCUGACCGAGCAACGCCGCGUGAGUGAAGAAGGUUUUCGGAUCGUAAAACUCUGUUGUUAGAGAAGAACAAGGAUGAGAGUAACUGUUCAUCCCUUGACGGUAUCUAACCAGAAAGCCACGGCUAACUACGUGCCAGCAGCCGCGGUAAUACGUAGGUGGCAAGCGUUGUCCGGAUUUAUUGGGCGUAAAGCGAGCGCAGGCGGUUUCUUAAGUCUGAUGUGAAAGCCCCCGGCUCAACCGGGGAGGGUCAUUGGAAACUGGGAGACUUGAGUGCAGAAGAGGAGAGUGGAAUUCCAUGUGUAGCGGUGAAAUGCGUAGAUAUAUGGAGGAACACCAGUGGCGAAGGCGGCUCUCUGGUCUGUAACUGACGCUGAGGCUCGAAAGCGUGGGGAGCAAACAGGAUUAGAUACCCUGGUAGUCCACGCCGUAAACGAUGAGUGCUAAGUGUUGGAGGGUUUCCGCCCUUCAGUGCUGCAGCUAACGCAUUAAGCACUCCGCCUGGAGCGC
rnacentral:rRNA from 1 species